rnacentral:rRNA from 1 species
AGUAGUCAUACGCUCGUCUCAAAGAUUAAGCCAUGCAUGUGUAAGUAUAAAUAGUUAACUUUGAAACUGCGAAUGGCUCAUUAUAUCAGUUAUAGUUUAUUUGAUGAAGAAUACUAAUUGGAUAACCGUAGUAAUUCUAGAGCUAAUACAUGUAUAAAGUCUUGUAGACUGCAUUUAUUAGAAUGAAAACCAUAGGUUUCGGCCUAUUCGUGAGUAAUAAUAACUAAUCAUAUCGUAUGCUUACGUAACGAUGUGUCUUUCAAGUUUCUGCCCUAUCAGCUUUCGAUGGUAGUGUAUUGGACUACCAUGGCAGUAACGGGUAACGAAGAA